rnacentral:rRNA from 1 species
CCUACGGGUGGCAGCAGUUGGGAAUAUUGCACAAUGGAGGGAACUCUGAUGCAGCGACGCCGCGUGAGUGAAGAAGUAAUUCGUUAUGUAAAGCUCUAUCAGCAGGGAAGAAAGUGAUGGUGCUUGAAAAAGAAGCUCCGGCUAAAUAUGUACCAGCAGCCGCGGUAAUACGUAUGGAGCAAGCGUUAUGCGGAUUUACUGGGUGUAAAGGGAGAGUAGGUGGCAGAGCAAGUCCGAAGUGAAAGCCCACAGCUCAACUAGGGGAAUGCUUUAGAAACUGCGCAGCUUGAGUGCAGGAGAGGCGAGUGGAAUUCCUAGUGUAGCGGUGAAAUGCGUAGAUAUUAGGAGGAACACCAGUGGCGAAGGCGGCUUGCUGGACUGUAACUGACACUGAGGCUCGAAAGCGUGGGGAGCAAACAGGAUUAGAUACCCGUGUAGUC